rnacentral:lncRNA from 1 species
GGAGGUGUGACUGGAUGGACCACAGGAUGGACCACAGGUUUGGUCACGCAGGAUGUGAGUCACUUGAGGGACCUGUGCUGUCCUGACAUGGAGCAAACAGGGGUAGUGAGUCAGAGGUGGCCUGAGCAUGCCAUGGUGGAGCACCAGAAAUAACCUCAGGCUCCAUGGAGGAGCUGCUGACGUGGAGACAGCCAGAUUUGCAGCAUUCUGACAGUGUGUAAGGGGGUGGCAGAGCUCCAGAUGGGGUUCCCCAUGGUAUGAGCUGGAGCAGGCUUUGAACCUGUGCUGCUUUUAGAGCUGAAAUAGGUUUUCAUGUCUGUCUGCUGGCCCAGCAACACCCUCACUGCACUGAGGAGCCUCUGACUGCACACAGGACCUGCCAGGGCCCAGCAGCAAGAUUAAUGUGUCUGGGAAUUUCCUGGCUGGCUCAGUAUUACUGGUGGAGAUGUUGUCUCUGUUCCGUGGAAUUCCUGCAUUUCUGGGGAAUAGCAUCAAGCAGAAGGGAUCACUCUGCCUCUGUGGGGACAGUGGCAGCUUGCUCUUGUUCACAGACUUUAGGAGAUGGCCCCUCAGGAAGCAACACAUGGAUGCUGUGUGAAACUUUGAGACAGGCCCCACGCUGAGCUCUGCUGUGCUCUCGUGAAUUUAUAACAGAACUGCUACACUGAAAUCGUUCCAAGGUUUUGCUGGUGAGGAUGCAGCCAAAAUCUCUCCCAUGGGGAGCAGAAGUGCUGCAGAGGAGUUUGCCCCCUUCACCAGGUCAGUUUGAAGUUUGGCUGUCCUGCAAAAGUGUGUUGCUUUUAUUCUCAGAGUUACAGGCAAAUAAGAAAGGUAAGGAAUACAGUGUUUUCCCCAGGCAGUGGGAUUCUUUGGAGCAGUGAAUCCCCCAGGGAGG